GCUAUCAUUCUUCCAAAGACAUUCGGGGGUCAAUCGAAACCUGUAGCCGCCUUCCGGGGUGUGACGGGUGGCUGAUAUCUUCCUCUUGAGAGUUGCAUGUCACAGUGCGGUGCCGGCAGCGUCAUUGCGCCGGUUGCUUCGCGUCUGCGGCGGACCAUCUCUUGGGAAACUCAGUGGGGGCAAUUGGAUGGCCUGCGAGCGAUCCCUGUGCGGUGCCCCUGGCGGUACCCCAGGGAAAGAUCCAGGUCGAGUGCUUGGGCCGAAAUGCCCACGCUCCAACCGUUUGACAACUCUUCCCACUUCCCUGCGGAGUGUCUGGGGUCCUUCCUCCUGCUCGGCGGGAGGCGGGUCCCCGGUCAAGAUAGUUACCUGGUUGAUUCUGCCAGUAGUCAUAUGCUUGUCUCAAAGAU
rnacentral:misc_RNA from 1 species